rnacentral:rRNA from 1 species
CCUACGGGAGGCAGCAGUGAGGAAUAUUGGUCAAUGGACGAGAGUCUGAACCAGCCAAGUAGCGUGAAGGAUGACUGCCCUCUGGGUUGUAAACUUCUUUUAUAAAGGAAUAAAACGAGGCACGUGUGCCUUUUUGCAUGUACUUUAUGAUUAAGGAUCGGCUAAAUCCGUGCCAGCAGCCGCGGUACUACGGAGGAGCCGAGCGUUAUCCGGAUUUAGUGGGUUCAAAGGGAGCGUAGAUGGGUUGUUAGGUGAGUUGUGAAAGUUUGCGGCUCAACCGUAAAAUUGCAAUUGAGACUGGCAGUCUUGAUGACAGUUGAGGUAGGCGGAAUUCGUGGUGUAGCGGUGAAAUGCUUCGAUAUCACGAAGAACCCCGAUUGCGAAGGCAGCUUACUAAACUGUGACUGACAUUGAUGCUCGAAAGUGUGGGUAUCAAACAGGAUUAGAUACCCUGGUAGUC